AUUGAACGCUAGCGGGAUGCUUUACACAUGCAAGUCGAACGAGUGGCGGACGGGUGAGUAAUAUAUCGGAAAGUGCCCAGUAGCGGGGGAUAACUACUCGAAAGGGUAGCUAAUACCGCAUACUAUCGGAGAGGCCCAUAUGGGAUUAGCUAGUUGGUGGGGUAAAGGCUCACCAAGGCAACGAUCCCUAGCUGGUUUGAGAGGAUGACCAGCCACACUGGGACUGAGACACGGCCCAGACUCCUACGGGAGGCAGCAGUGGGGAAUAUUGGACAAUGGGGGAAACCCUGAUGCAGCCAUGCCGCGUGUGUGAGAAGGCCUUCGGGUUGUAAAGUACUUUUGGCAGAGAGGCGUUAUCUGCAGAAGAAGCACCGGCUAACUACGUGCCAGCAGCCGCGGUAAUUC
rnacentral:rRNA from 1 species